rnacentral:rRNA from 1 species
CCCGCUGAACUUAAGCAUAUCAAUAAGCGGAGGAAAAGAAACCAACAGGGAUUGCCUCAGUAACGGCGAGUGAAGCGGCAACAGCUCAAAUUUGAAAUCUGGCCCUAGGCCCGAGUUGUAAUUUGCAGAGGAUGCUUCUGGCGCGGUGCCUUCCAAGUCCCCUGGAACGGGGCGCCAUAGAGGGUGAGAGCCCCGUCUGGUUGGCCACCAAGCCUGUGUGAAGCUCCUUCGACGAGUCGAGUAGUUUGGGAAUGCUGCUCUAAAUGGGAGGUAGACCCCUUCUAAAGCUAAAUAUUGGCCAGAGACCGAUAGCGCACAAGUAGAGUGAUCGAAAGAUGAAAAGCACUUUGAAAAGAGGGUUAAACAGUACGUGAAAUUGUUGAAAGGGAAGCGCUUGUGACCAGACGUGCGUCGGGGUGUUCAGCGGGCGUUCUCGCCCGUGCACUCGCCCCGGCGCAGGCCAGCGUCGGUUCGGGCGGGGGGACAAAGGCGUUGGGAACGUAGCUCCUCCGGGAGUGUUAUAUCCCAGCGUGCCAUGCCCCCGCCUGGACCGAGGUUCGCGCUCCGCAAGGACGCUGGCGUAAUGGUCCCCAGCGGCCCGUCUUGAAACACGG